rnacentral:rRNA from 1 species
UACGGAGGGUGCAAGCAUUGAUCGGAAUUACUGGGCGUAAAGGGCGCGUAGGCGGCCGAGAAAGUCAGAUGUGAAAUACCGGGGCUCAACCCCGGUGCUGCAUUUGAAACUUCUUGGCUAGAGGAUGAUUAGGGAAAACGGAAUUCCACGUGUAGCGGUGAAAUGCGUAGAUAUGUGGAAGAACACCAGUGGUGAAGACGGUUUUCUGGGUCAAACCUGACGCUGAGGCGCGAAAGCUAGGGGAGCAAACAGG